AUUAGGUGACAUUAAAAAGAAUGAAUCCUAAAUGAGGUUUAUGUGUCCCAAUUAAGGAGUUUAAAAAACUGUAAUGGGUCAUCAAUUGAGGGUUUAUUUAUUAAUUAAUUUGUUUCUUUAUUUAUUUAUGGUCAGACAAUCUGGGGUUGUGGCUCAGUGAUAGAGCACUCACCUAGCACAUGCAAGGUCCUGGGUUCGAUCCUCAGCACCACAUAAAAAUAAAUAAAUAAAAAAUAAAAAAAUAAAUAACCCACAGAAACAUUCCAAACAUUUCAGGAAACUCUUUUAUUUAGGUGUGACAAGAAAAAAUAAAAUUGGGACUAAUUUGAAUUUAAAUGGCAUGUAAUUUAAAUCUCUCUCUCUCUCUCUCUCUCUCUCUCUCUCUCUCUCUCUCUCUUUCUGUACUGGGGAUUAACCCCAGGGCCUCAUGUUUAGAAGGCUAGCACUCUACAAGCUGAGCUAUUUACUCAGCCCCAUUUUUGUUUUGGAGGGGAGACCAGGGAUUGAAGUCAGGGGCACUCUACCACUGAGCCACAUCCCUACCCCUAAUUUGUAUUUUACUUAGAGACAGAGUUUCACUGAGUUGCUUAGUGCCCUACCAUUGAUGAGAGUGGUUUUGAAUUCAUGAUCCUUAUGUCCAGUCUUGUAAACAGCUGAUAUUACAGGCAUGCACCAACAUGCCUGGCCAACUUCAAUCUUUUUUUUUUUUUUUUUUUUUUAAAGAGUGAGUGUGUGAGAGAGAGAGAGGGAGAGAGAGAGAGAAUGUUCUUAAUAUUUAUUUUUUAGUUUUUGGAGGACACAACAUCUUUGUUUUGUAUGUGGUGCUGAGGAUCAAACCUGGGCCACACGCAUGCCAAGCGAGUGCGCCACCGCUUGAGCCACAUCCCCA
rnacentral:lncRNA from 1 species